CAAGUCGAACGAGAACGGGUUAUAGCUUGCUAUAACUGUCAGCUAAGUGGCGCACGGGUGAGUAAAAGAUAGGUAACGUACCUCGAAGAGUGGGAUAACAGUUGGAAACGACUGCUAAUACUACAUAUGCCUUUAAUACAUAAGUAUGCAAGGGGAACGUUUUUUCGCUUCGAGAUCGGCCUAUCCCCUAUCAGGUAGUUGGUGGUGUAAGAGACCACCAAGCCAAUGACGGGUAGCUGGUUUGAGAGGAUGAUCAGCCACACUGGUACUGAGACACGGACCAGACUCCUACGGGAGGCAGCAGUGGGGAAUAUUGCACAAUGGACGAAAGUCUGAUGCAGCAACGCCGCGUGGAGGAUGACGGUUUUCGGAUUGUAAACUCCUUUUAUCUAAGAAGAUAAUGACGGUAUUAGAUGAAUAAGCACCGGCUAACUCCGUGCCAGCAGCCGCGGUAAUACGGAGGGUGCAAGCGUUACUCGGAAUCACUGGGCGUAAAGGGCGCGUAGGCGGGAUAGCAAGUCAGAUGUGAAAUCCCACAGCUUAACUGUGGAACUGCAUUUGAAACUGCUAACCUAGAGUAUGGAAAGGGAAGAUGGAAUUAGUGGUGUAGGGGUAAAAUCCGUAGAUAUCACUAGGAAUAUCAAAAGCGAAGGCGAUCUUCUGGGACAUUACUGACGCUGAGGCGCGAAAGCGUGGGGAGCAAACAGGAUUAGAUACCCUGGUAGUCCACGCCCUAAACGAUGAAUGCUAGUCGUCGGAGAGCUCGUCUCUUCGGUGAUACACCUAACGGAUUAAGCAUUCCGCCUGGGGAGUACGGUCGCAAGAUUAAAACUCAAAGGAAUAGACGGGGACCCGCACAAGUGGUGGAGCAUGUGGUUUAAUUCGAAGAUACGCGAAGAACCUUACCUAGGCUUGACAUACCGAGAAUCUUUAGGAAACUAGAGAGUGCUAGCUUGCUAGAACUUGGAUACAGGUGCUGCACGGCUGUCGUCAGCUCGUGUCGUGAGAUGUUGGGUUAAGUCCCGCAACGAGCGCAACCCUCGUCGUUAGUUGCUAACAGUUCGGCUGAGCACUCUAGCGAGACUGCCUUCGUAAGGAGGAGGAAGGUGAGGACGACGUCAAGUCAUCAUGGCCCUUAUGCCUAGGGCGACACACGUGCUACAAUGGGGCGUACAGAGAGCUGCGAUACCGCGAGGUGGAGCCAAUCUCUUAAAGCGCCUCUCAGUUCGGAUUGUAGUCUGCAACUCGACUACAUGAAGCUGGAAUCACUAGUAAUCGCGGAUCAGCCAUGCCGCGGUGAAUACGUUCCCGGGUCUUGUACUCACCGCCCGUCACACCAUGGGAGUUGAUUUCACCCGAAAUCGGGAAGCUAACCUUCGGGAAGCUACCGCUU
rnacentral:rRNA from 1 species